GGGCGAGUUUAUUAUACUAAUGUUGUCGACGAACUCUGGUAUUGAUUGGUGCUUGCAUCAUGAUUUACAUUUGAGUGAGUGGCGAACUGGUGAGUAACACGUGGGAAACCUGCCCAGAAGCGGGGGAUAACACCUGGAAACAGAUGCUAAUACCGCAUAACAACUUGGACCGCAUGGUCCGAGUUUGAAAGAUGGCUUCGGCUAUCACUUUUGGAUGGUCCCGCGGCGUAUUAGCUAGAUGGUGGGGUAACGGCUCACCAUGGCAAUGAUACGUAGCCGACCUGAGAGGGUAAUCGGCCACAUUGGGACUGAGACACGGCCCAAACUCCUACGGGAGGCAGCAGUAGGGAAUCUUCCACAAUGGACGAAAGUCUGAUGGAGCAACGCCGCGUGAGUGAAGAAGGGUUUCGGCUCGUAAAACUCUGUUGUUAAAGAAGAACAUAUCUGAGAGUAACUGUUCAGGUAUUGACGGUAUUUAACCAGAAAGCCACGGCUAACUACGUGCCAGCAGCCGCGGUAAUACGUAGGUGGCAAGCGUUGUCCGGAUUUAUUGGGCGUAAAGCGAGCGCAGGCGGUUUUUUAAGUCUGAUGUGAAAGCCUUCGGCUCAACCGAAGAAGUGCAUCGGAAACUGGGAAACUUGAGUGCAGAAGAGGACAGUGGAACUCCAUGUGUAGCGGUGAAAUGCGUAGAUAUAUGGAAGAACACCAGUGGCGAAGGCGGCUGUCUGGUCUGUAACUGACGCUGAGGCUCGAAAGUAUGGGUAGCAAACAGGAUUAGAUACCCUGGUAGUCCAUACCGUAAACGAUGAAUGCUAAGUGUUGGAGGGUUUCCGCCCUUCAGUGCUGCAGCUAACGCAUUAAGCAUUCCGCCUGGGGAGUACGGCCGCAAGGCUGAAACUCAAAGGAAUUGACGGGGGCCCGCACAAGCGGUGGAGCAUGUGGUUUAAUUCGAAGCUACGCGAAGAACCUUACCAGGUCUUGACAUACUAUGCAAAUCUAAGAGAUUAGACGUUCCCUUCGGGGACAUGGAUACAGGUGGUGCAUGGUUGUCGUCAGCUCGUGUCGUGAGAUGUUGGGUUAAGUCCCGCAACGAGCGCAACCCUUAUUAUCAGUUGCCAGCAUUAAGUUGGGCACUCUGGUGAGACUGCCGGUGACAAACCGGAGGAAGGUGGGGAUGACGUCAAAUCAUCAUGCCCCUUAUGACCUGGGCUACACACGUGCUACAAUGGAUGGUACAACGAGUUGCGAACUCGCGAGAGUAAGCUAAUCUCUUAAAGCCAUUCUCAGUUCGGAUUGUAGGCUGCAACUCGCCUACAUGAAGUCGGAAUCGCUAGUAAUCGCGGAUCAGCAUGCCGCGGUGAAUACGUUCCCGGGCCUUGUACACACCGCCCGUCACACCAUGAGAGUUUGUAACACCCAAAGUCGGUGGGGUAACCUUUUAGGAACCAGCCGCCUAAGGUGGGACAGAUGAUUAGGGGAAGUACGUAAUCGACGUGCAUCCC
rnacentral:rRNA from 2 species